GGCUCUCAGUGCACACACAGCUGAGGUACAGAUGGCCCAUCACUGCUUGGCUCUCCACAGCUCCACACUCAGCCUUUCUGAUUGAAGCAGCCUCCAGCAGGAUGAAAAGUGCUAUCACUUUGAACAAAAACAAUUUAAGAAGAAAAAGGGAGAAGGACACAAAGCCUAAUAAUAGCAAGUGACCUUUCGAGUUAAUCGAAGACUCCAAAUCCAGAAGUUGCACAGCGAACCUCUAUGUGCAGUUCGCCAUCCUGCCCUCCACGGGGCCAUACCCCAACACGCAGUUUAAUCAAGUCCCACACAGCUUUUUUAACCUACAAGAAAGGUAAGAGUCAAAGCACUACAGUCAAUCUGAAAUACUAGCCAGGCAUUUGAUGCCAACAAAAUUUAUAAUGGCUGAACCUCCACGA